GUCAGGAUGGCCGAGUGGUCUAAGGCGCCAGACUCAAGGCGGACGCAUAGAGUUGCCUUCCCGCGAGCGGGGCUGGGUGUUCUGGUCUCUGUAUAGAGGCGUGGGUUCGAAUCCCACUUCUGACA